GAUGAACGCUAGCUACAGGCUUAACACAUGCAAGUCGAGGGGUAACGAGAGGGAAGCUUGCUUUCCUUGUCGACGACCGGCGCACGGGUGAGUAACGCGUAUCCAACCUGCCCCCAACUAGGGAAUAACCUUGCGAAAGUAAGACUAAUACCCUAUAAUUUCCUCAGAUGUCAUCUGACGAGGAAUAAAGAUUUAUCGGUUGUGGAUGGGGAUGCGUCUGAUUAGCUUGUUGGCGGGGUACCGGCCCACCAAGGCAACGAUCAGUAGGGGUUCUGAGAGGAAGGUCCCCCACAUUGGAACUGAGACACGGUCCAAACUCCUACGGGAGGCAGCAGUGAGGAAUAUUGGUCAAUGGGCGGAAGCCUGAACCAGCCAAGUAGCGUGCAGGAUGACGGCCCUAUGGGUUGUAAACUGCUUUUAUACAGGAAUAAAGUUAGCCACGUGUGGUUAUUUGUAGGUACUGUAUGAAUAAGGACCGGCUAUUUCCGUGCCAGCAGCCGCAGUAA
rnacentral:rRNA from 1 species